rnacentral:rRNA from 1 species
UUCAUAUCAAUUAGCGGAGGAAAAGGAACCAACAGGGGUUGCCUCUGUAACGGGGAAUGAAGCGGCAACAGCUCAAAUUUGAAAUUUGGGUCUUUCAGGGUCCGAGUUGUAAUUUGUAGAAGAUGCUUUGGGUGUAGGUCCGGUGUAAGUUCCUUGGAACAGGACGUCAUAGAGGGUGAGAAUCCCGUAUGUGACUGGGUGCCUUCGCUCGUGUAAAGCUCUUUCGACGAGUCGAGUUGUUUGGGAAUGCAGCUCAAAAUGGGUGGUAAAUUUCAUCUAAAGCUAAAUAUUGGCCAGAGACCGAUAGCGCACAAGUAGAGUGAUCGAAAGAUGAAAAGCACUUUGGAAAGAGAGUUAAACAGUACGUGAAAUUGUUGAAAGGGAAGCGCUUGCAACCAGACUUGCGCGCUGUUGAUCAUCCGAGCUUCUGCCCGGUGCACUCGACAGCGUUCAGGCCAGCAUCGGUUUUGGUGGGCGGAUAAAGGCCUUGGGAAUGUAGCUUCUUUCGGGGAGUGUUAUAGCCCUCGGUGCAAUGCGCCCUACCGGGACCGAGGACCGCGCCUCGGCUAGGAUGCGGCGAAAAGUUCC